ACGCGGGAUGCGCAGGACGCCGACAAGCAGGCGUCCACAGUGGGUCUGCAGGGACGCAUCGCAUGGGCAGGCCUGGUGGGUGUAGGUGUGCAGGAGUUCGUGGACAUGCGUGUGCACGAUCCCGCGUGGAAGGCACGGUGGACAUGCGUGUGCACAAUCCCGCGUGAAAUGCAAAGGUUACGGGGACCCAGCAACCUCACUUCUCUUGGUACUAUCUGAAAGAAAUACACAACUUAGGAGCACACAGAGACCAGGAGGUAAAUGCACGUAGCAGCUUUGUUCCUCAUCACCAAAACCUGGGAAGAGCUCAAAUACCCCUCCAUUCAGAGGGGAACAGGUCAACGGAGGUCGGUUCAUAGAAUGAAAGUUCAGCAGUCAAGAG
rnacentral:lncRNA from 10 species